CGACGGGUCAUAACUUCUUCGUUAUAACUCGGAUUUCGGCGUUCCUUAUAUGCACGGAAACCUUGAGACAUAUUCUACAACUUUAUGUAGAGAUAUCGGGAUUAUCUCACACUUUAAUUUUGACGCUCAUUUUUAUUCUUUAUUAAUUAUACAUUUAUAAUUAAAUAAUAAACACAUAUAAUUCACAUAAUACUCAAAUAUUUCAUCUUUAUUACUUCAAAAAGAGUUACAAGAGUUGACCUAGACUAUUACAUUGACAAAAAUGCUUAGCCCUGAAACCCGGGCGUUACAAUUCUCUCCCCCUUAGGAUGAUUCCGUCCCGGAAUCAUGCAUCAGCAAACAGAUGUGGAUAGCGACUCAUCAUGUCAUCCUCUGUUUCCCAAGUGAGAUUCGGCCCAUUCGAAUGUUUCCAUCGGACUAGCACCAAGUCGACCAUCUUGCGUCGUAACUUCUUAGUCUUACGGUCAACAAUUGCCUCAGGCUCUUCGAUCAACCUUUUAUUUUCAUCCAUCCUUAACUCUGAGAUUGGAAUUAUGUCGGGAACAUCUCCCGUGAAUUUCCUCAAAUAACACACAUGGAAGGUGUUAUGAAUACCAUUGAGUUCUUCGGGCAAUUCCAGCUUGUAAGCUUGGUUCCCUAUCUUCUGAAGAACUUUGAACGGUCCAAUAAACCUUGGACUCAACUUUCCUCGUUUCCCAAAUCGUAUAAGUCCCUUCCACGGUGAGACUUUAAGCAAAACGGAAUCCCCAACUUCGAAAGUUAUCGGUCGUCUUUUCUUGUCAGCAUAGCUCUUCUGACGAUCCUGGGCUGCUAACAUCCUUUCCCUAAUCACCUUCAACUUCUCAGCAGUCUCAUGGACUAUCUCGGGGCCCAUAAACUGCUUCUCUCCGGCUUCAAGCCAACAAGACGGCGUACGACACUUCUGCCCAUACAAGGCUUGAUAAGGAGCCAUCUUGAUGCUCGAGUGAAAACUAUUGUUGUAGGAAAAUUCUACCAGAGGUAAGUGCUCGUCCCAAUUCCCUUGGAAUUCGAGGGUACAUGCUCUCAGCAUAUCUUCCAGCGUCUGAAUCGUUCUUUCGCUCUGACCAUCAGUUUGCGGAUGAUAAGCAGUACUCAAACACAACUUUGUACCUAACUCCUCUUGUAGACUCCUCCAAAACCUUGACGUGAAACGACUAUCACGAUCUGAUACAAUCGUAAGAGGGACACCGUGAAGUCUUACAAUUUCCUUCACGUAAGCAUUUGCGAGCUUAUCCAUAGACCACUUCUCGUUGGCUGCUAUGAAGUGUGCACUCUUGGUGAAACGAUCCACGACUACCCAAAUCAUGUCGUGACCGUUCUUCGUCCUGGGCAGUUUAGUCACAAAAUCCAUGGUGAUGUCUUCCCAUUUACCCAUGGGUACAGGUAAAGGUUCUAAACUCCCAUACGGUUUCUGAUGUUGUGCCUUAACCCUCGCACAUGUUACGCACUCGGCCACAUACUUCGCAACAUCGAGCUUCAUCGUCGGCCACCAGUAGUAGGGUUUUAGGUCCCUAUACAUUUUAGUGCUACCGGGAUGAAUCGAGUACAUGGUCUUGUGUGCUUCUUCCAUCAGAAGAUCUCUUAUUCCUCCCGUCUUAGGUACCCAAAUUCGAUCUUGGAAUACCUUCAGUCCUCGACUGUUUGUACCAAACACUAACGUUCUUCCCAAACGUUCUUCCUUUCGGUCAUUUUUCUCUAAAGCUUCUUCUUGAGCUUUCCUGAUACUUUCCACAAUCGUCGAGACGACUUCAAUUCUUAACGCUCUUGGCCUUUUCCUUUCCAGAUUGACUUUCCGACUGAGAGCAUCAGCAACAAUAUUUGCUUUACCUGGGUGGUAAAGUAUCUCACAGUCGUAGUCCUUGAGAAGUUCUAGCCAGCGUCGUUGCCUCAUGUUCAACUCCUUCUGAUUAAAGAGAUACUGGAGACUCUUAUGAUCAGUGAAGAGCUUGCACUUCGUGCCGUAGAGGUAAUGCCUCCAUAUCUUUAAGGCAAAAACUACCGCUGCCAACUCCAGAUCAUGAGUGGGGUAGUUCUUUUCGUGCUCUUUCAAUUGUCGAGAUGCGUAUGCUAUCACCUUUUCUCUUUGGGUCAGAACACAACCCAACCCGACUCCAGAAGCGUCACUAUAAACCGCGAAAUCUUCGACUCCAUCGGGUAGAGAAAGUAUCGGUGCUUCACAUAACUUCUUCUUUAGCUUCUCGAAUGCCUCAUCGUGUUUCUCACUCCACGUAUACGUAGCUCCUUUAUGAGUCAAAGCUGUUAAUGGAGCAGCUAUCGAAGAAAAGCCUUGGAUAAAUCGUCGAUAAUAUCCGGCUAAUCCUAGAAAGCUUCGAAUCUCCGUGGGACUCUUUGGACGUUCCCACUUCAUUACAGCCUCGAUCUUUGCGGGGUCAACCAUUAUUCCCUCCUGGUUAACAACAUGACCCAAGAAUUGGACUUCCCGUAUCCAAAAGUCGCAUUUGGAGAACUUUGCAAAAAGCUUCUCCUUCUUCAACACUUCUAAUACUUCCCGUAGAUGCUUGCCAUGCUCCUCUUGGCUUUUCGAGUAGAUGAGAAUGUCGUCGAUGAACACUAUCACGGAUUUAUCGAGGAAUGGUUUACAAACCCUAUUCAUCAAAUCCAUGAAUGCUGCGGGAGCAUUGGUUAGCCCGAAUGACAUAACCAAGAACUCGUAGUGUCCAUAUCUCGUUCUGAAUGCAGUCUUCUCAAUAUCCUGCUUUCUCACCUUUAGCUGAUGAUAUCCUGACCUAAGAUCGAUCUUUGAGAAGUAGCUCGAACCUUGCAGCUGAUCGAAUAGGUCAUCAAUCCUCGGCAAUGGAUACUUGUUCUUCACCGUUGCCUUAUUCAGCUCUCGGUAGUCUAUACACAUUCUCAUACUUCCGUCCUUCUUCUUCACGAAUAACACCGGAGCUCCCCAGGGUGAUGAACUAGGUCGAAUAAAACCGUUGUCCAACAGCUCCUGAAGUUGCGUCAUGAGCUCCUUCAUCUCCGUCGGUGCUAAUCGGUAAGGUGCCUUUGCUAUCGGUGUUGUUCCUGGUAACAAGUCUAUACGAAACUCCACUUGCCUAUCAGGUGGUAAUCCGGGAAGAUCUUCGGGAAAGACUUCCGGAUAAUCACACACAACCGGUAUAUUCUGCACCUCUUUCUUCUCCUUCUUGGCAUCGAUUACGAAUGCCAAGUAUGAUGCACAUCCUUUGGACAAACAUUUCCUGGCUUUCAUCAGGGAGAUGAUUCCAGAAUUCACUCUGCGUUUGUCCCCAUACACCAUAAAUGAUUCUUUUCCGGGUGGGUUUACCUUUACUAUCUUCUUUCGGCAUUGAAUCUCAGCAUCGUUGGCGCUAAGCCAAUCCAUACCCAAAACGAUGUCGAAACCGUUUAACUCUAUGGGUAAUAGCUCUUCGUGGAAUUCGUUUCCGUUUAGGUCAAUGACGAUGUUCCUAAUACGAUUACUAACAGGUACGAAUUUGCCACUGGCAACUUCUACAAUCAGGGCAUUAUCUAGUUUUUCUACAGGCAAUGCUAAUUUCCCACCAAAUUUAUGCGACACAAAGGAGUAGUUGGCUCCGGAAUCAAAUAGUAUAUUUGCAGGCAAACCAUUUACAAGAAAGGUACCUGAAGCGACGUCUGCUGCCUCCUUUGCAGCCUCGAGCGUCAUCUGGAAGGCUCUCGCCUUCGGCUUCGGUGGUAUGUUGGGUCUUCCUGUCUCCUUCUUCUUCGGGCAGUCCUUCAAAAUGUGCCCUUCUUCAUUGCACCCAUAACAGGCUUUCUGGUUGAGGGUGCAUUCAUUGGCGUAGUGCCCAGGCUUUCCGCACUUGUAACAAGUGACCCCUCCGUCACACUUCCCAGAGUGCUUCUUCUUGCACUUGUCACACCACUUCGCUUCUGAUCCUCCUCCCCUCGAACCAGACUUCGAGAAUCUACUCUUCUUGUUGGACUUCGAGGAUCCAUUGAACUUCCGUUUCUCACCAACCUCAGCCCUCUCCAGACCUCUUUCCUUUUGUUGGGUCUCCACGUUCUUAGCUGCUCGAACAGCUGAUUUCAGAGUGGUUGCCAUCUUGACUGUUGGGCCAAAGUCAGCCGGCAGUCCGUUUGCGAAUUUCUCAAUUUUGGAAAGUUCGGUUGGCACUAGGUAUGGAAACAACUUCAUCUUUUCCGUAAAUGCAGCAGCAUAGUCAUCGAUGCUCAUUCUCCCCUUCUUCAAAUUUUGGAACUCAUUGUUCAGAUCAAUCAGGUCUAUCUCUGAACAGUACUGCGCCUUCAGUUGUUCCAAGAACUCAUCCCAUGACAUUUUCAGAGCUUCUCCCCGUGGCAUUGUAUCUGCCAAUAGCUUCCACCAGCUCAAGACUCCAGUUUUCAAUUGUCUCACAGCGAAGACAGUCUUCUGCUUCUCGCUGCAGUCGCAGCUCUCAAACACCAUCUCCAUCUCGGAGAUCCAGUCCAUAAUCUCAACAGGCUUUGGGCUUCCUGAGAGACUUGGUGGUUUCGCACCCAAGAAAUUUUUGUACAUCCGCCCAUCCUUGUUGUUUCUCCCUUCUGGGCCAUCCUUUUGCUCACCUUGAGUCCCUACUUGACUCACUUGGCGGCUAUAGUUCCCUUCCUCAGAUGGCUCGGGAACUGGCUCCGUCGGUUCAACAUGUAUGGUAGGUUCGUCCCUAUUUUCGUGGAGCAUCCGUCUCAUUUCUUCCCUUUGUUCAGCUAGCAUAGCCUGAAUCAUGGCUUGAACUCCAGCCAUGGUGACUGGCUCAGGUGCAACUUCUUCAACAACAGGUAUUUGCUGAACCACUGGGGGUUGGUUCCUACCUCCAUUUGCGUUCACGUUUCCGCUACGGGUCCUUGCCAUCUUGAUCUAUACACCGAAUAAGGUGAAUUUAGAUCUUUAUUUAGGAUAGACGUUUUAAAUCGUCCUUAUCACUCCGAAACGUUUACAUGCUAGUUCUAAUAUCGUAGUCGUACGUUUAGAAUCCUAAACACAUAAGGUUUCCAGAUCCGGUCGGCAACAGACCAUAGAUCCGAACAAUUAACAGCAUAUUAUGCACAAAGCAUUUAGCACAUAAAAGCAUUUUAGGCACAAUUCCUAAAAUAAGCUAGUGCUCACACCUCACAAUCAUCGCUUAGCAUUCUAAGUUUAAGUCUAGAAAUCCUACAAAUUCCUAGUUCGCUUAAACUAAUGCUCUGAUACCAACUGUGACAUCCCCAAAAUCACGGCCAGAAAAGACCGGUUUGUUUAUGCUUUGUUUAAAAAUCAGAGUUACAUUUUAAAUGAAAGUGUUGCGGAAUUUGUCCCAAAACAAAAAUAUGAUAAAGAUUUAUCAAAAGCAUUUCCAUAGAAAUGUAUUUCAUUAAAAGACUCGGGAUGUCAUGUUCGUACAGAUCAAAAGCAUAAACAGUACAAUAUAAGCCUUACUACAUUAUUUCAUAUCUACAGGCCUAUAUCCGUAAUCCCUCGUCCAAAACAUCACACCUAUGCUCAUGCGCCACUACCUGUAAUACAUAAAACUGAGUGGGUCAGGCUUGGGAGCCUGGUGAGCACAUAGGGUUUUCAACCCACAAUAAAUAAGUUUAUUAAUUUCAUCAAUCAACAAUAACCCGAUUACCCGUUCCCGUUAUCCUCACUUUACGUCCCUAAACACCUAUCAUAAGGGACCUAGCCUAAGGAUCAUCAUCGGGACGGACACUACUGCUAAGGGGAUUCCUCAGCAAUAAAUGUCCUAAAGGCAACCAUGUGGGGGAUGGAGUACACCGGUGAACACAUCGUUCACAAACACCUACAGGUUGCGAGCCUGCUAGUGUUCCACUGGACUGUCUAGAAGAGUCCGUGGUCGUCAUCCAUACUCCGCUAGAUGACAGAAACAACAACAUCAACAUCGAGGCCUCUCAUCAUUUUAUCACACAUCACCUAUUACAUCUACCCAUGUUUUACCCCAACAUUUUCGUAGAUAUAAAAUACAUAUACAGUUUAAAUCAUUGAAAACAUGUAUAACAACGUUCAUCCAGCAUAGAUAGCAAGUAAUCAGAUAAUAUGCACACAUAGCACGUAAUUUAUAAAAUACUUCAUAUCUAUGUGUAAGCUGAAAGUAACUAUGCACUCACCUGAAAGGUGGUGACUCAGCACUCGGACAGCGCUUCGAUACUCUCAAAACGAUAUUCCUUCGAUAAAACCUAGUACCAACACCACUAGGGUUUAGUCUAACGAUAACCGCGAUUAAUUAAUAGUCUAGCUAUUAUUAUUAUUAUAUAAGCGUUAAACGAUACUUAUAUAACCCAUAAUAAUAGCCCAAGUACUUAUUAUAAGGUCCUAAUAACAUUACUAUAUUAAAACGUAAGCUAAACUAAAGAUAGGUUAGGCGUAGCUCACUUACAGCGAGUUUUCUCGAAAACCGGGCUUCGCUGGAGCAGCGUUCCCGAGCCGAAAGGCUCUUUUCUCGGGACUCCGGGAGCCUCGGGGCUUCCUUCGGGUGCUAGGGGGUUUACCUAGGCUUUAGGGGGCUUAAGGAGGCUUAGAGAGAGAGUGUAGAGAGAGAAAGAAGUGGGGAAAGGUGUGAGAAAUGAGAGAACCCGGCACUUCUAUUUAUAGGGUGAAAUCCUGACGGACUCGCCGAGUCGGUUCACUGACUCGCCGAGUCAGUGCCACGUGUCAUCAUCUGAUGGCUUUCCUUGGGGAGAAAGCCUUGGCCCAUAUUCAGCCACGUCACCCCUUUUGCAGCAGCACUCUGCCAACUUCUAAACCCCGUAACUUUCGCAUACGAGCUCCGUUUUCGACGUUCUUUUUUUCCACGCGUAGGUAAAAACAAGAUCUACAACUUUCAUUUAGACUCCGUCGGCUAAUUCUCGACCGAUCUCAAAUUUAACAGUAAGAGGCGUUUAGACUGUUAAAUGACCGCGAAGAAUUCAUAACUCCUUCAUACGAACUCCGUUUUCGUCCAUCUUUUUACCGUUGAGUUCCUAUUAAUGAGAUCUUCAACUCUCAUUUAGGUCGCGUAAGCCAAAAACCGCUCGAACAAAAAUUCGAGUUUCGGGCCGUGCACUGCUAAGCCGAAUCUUAGAAAAAUCAUAACUUCCUCAUACGAAGUCAGAUUUGGGCGUUCUUUUUAUCGACGUUCUUAGUUUAACAUAUUCUACAACUUUCGUUUAGGUUGAUAAGGCUAAAUCUCACUCUAUCGUAAAUUCACUAUUUACGCUUCCUGGUGUCGUGCCGGUUUUGCCGUAAAACUUCGACGGGCCAUAACUUCUUCGUUAUAACUCGGAUUUCGGCGUUCUUUAUAUGUACAGAAACCUUGAGACAUAUUCUACAACUUUAUGUAGAGACAUCGGGCUUAUCUCAUACUUUAAUUUUGACGCUUAUUUUUAUUCUUUAUUAAUUAUACACUUAUAAUUAAAUAAUAAACACAUAAACACACAUAAUUCACAUAAUACUCAAAUAUUUCAUCUUUAUUUCUUCAAAAAGAGUUACAAGAGUUGACCUAGACU
rnacentral:lncRNA from 1 species